rnacentral:rRNA from 1 species
GAUGAACGCUGGCGGCGUGCCUAAUACAUGCAAGUCGAGCGAACAGACGAGGAGCUUGCUCCUCUGACGUUAGCGGCGGGCGGGAGAGUAACACGUGUAUAACCUACCUAUAAGACUGGGAUAACUUCGGGAAACCGGAUCUAAUACCGUAUAAUAUAUUGAACCGCGGUGUGCAAUAGUGAAAUUCGGUUUUUCUGGCACUUAUAGAUGGAUCCGCGCCGCAUUGGCUAGUUGGGAAGGUAACGGCGUACCAAGGCUACGAUGCGUAGCCGACGGGAGGGAGUGAUAGGCGACACGGGAAGUGAGACAGCGUCAAUACGACUACGAGAGGCAGCAGUAGGGAAUCGUACGCAGUGGGCGAAAGCCUUACGGAGCAACGGCGCGUGAGUGAUGAAGACGUUCGGAUCGGAAAGAUCUGUUACUAGUGGAGAACAAAUGUGUAAGUAAAUAUGCCGGUAUUGACGGUAACUGGUAAGAAAGCCACGGCUAACUACGUG